rnacentral:rRNA from 1 species
CAGGAGGAACACCAAUGGCGAAGGCAGGUCUCUGGGCCAAUACUGACACUGAGGAGCGAAAGUCUGGGGACCGAACAGGAUUAGAUACCCUGUUAGUCCAGACCGUAAACGGUGGGCACUAGUUGUGGGAACCUUCCACGGUUUCUGCGACGCAGCUAACGCAUUAAGUGCCCCGCCUGGGGAGUACGAUCGCAAGAUUAAAACUCAAAGGAAUUGACGGGGCCCCGCACAAGCAGCGGAGCAUGCGGCUUAAUUCGACGCAACGCGAAGAACCUUACCAAGGCUUGACAUAUAGGGAAAAGUGGCAGAGAUGUCAUGUCCGCAAGGGCUCUAUACAGGUGGUGCAUGGUUGUCGUCAGCUCGUGUCGUGAGAUGUUGGGUUAAGUCCCGCAACGAGCGCAACCCUCGUUCUGUGUUGCCAGCAUUUAGUUGGGGACUCACAGGAGACUGCCGGGGUUAACUCGGAGGAAGGUGGGGAUGACGUCAAAUCAUCAUGCCCCUUAUGUCUUGGGCUGCACGCAUGCUACAAUGGCCGGUACAGAGGGCUGCAAUACCGUAAGGUGGAGCGAAUCCCAAAAAGCCGGUCUCAGUUCGGAUUGAGGUCUGCAACUCGACCUCAUGAAGUUGGAGUUGCUAGUAAUCGUAGAUCAGCAUCGCUACGGUGAAUACGUUCCCGGGGCUUGUACACACCGCCCGUCACGUCACGAAAGUCGGUAACACCCAAAGUCAGUGGCCCAACC